rfam:Bacillus sp. FJAT-22058 super1, whole genome shotgun sequence.
AUACUAUGUUUCUAGGGUUCCUCGGUUGAAUGUUACCGGAAUGGUCCAAGAGAAACGCGCAGGAAUCUGCGUACACGGAGGGAAAAAAGCCCGGGAGGU